rnacentral:misc_RNA from 1 species
GACAUUAUACGUGAUUGAAUUUAUUUUGGUUAACUGCCGUUGCAUUUGUGUCCUUAUGUGGUCUGCAACCAGGUAGUCUCGUACAAUCUGGAAAAAAAAAGCUGCAGUGUUCAACCAUCAAACUAGAUCUCAUUUGAGCAUCGCGUACCAAAACCUUGUUGGGCAGCAAAUGCAAAGACGAUUAACGUAAUAAAUGCUCUUCAAUGGGAAAACGUGACUUUCUUGGCCAACCUUCAUUGGCAAACGAGUCAAACUGAUUUUUUUUUUUUUUAUUUGUUGACAU